rnacentral:rRNA from 1 species
AGCAGCCGCGGUAAUUCCAGCUCCAAUAGCGUAUAUUAAAGUUGUUGCAGUUAAAAAGCUCGUAGUUGAAUUUCGGGGUUAGUAGGUUGGUCGUGCCACUGGUACGUACUGGUCUCACUGACUCCUCCUUCCUGAUGAACUGUAAUGCCAUUAAUUUGGUGUUGCGGGGAAACUGGACUGUUACUUUGAAAAAAUUAGAGUGUUUAAAGCAAGCUAACGCUUGAAUACAUUAGCAUGGAAUAAUGAAAUAGGACGUUCGAUCCUAUCUUGUUGGUUUCUAGGAUUUGACGUAAUGAUUAAUAGGGAUAGUUGGGGGCAUUAGUAUUCAAUUGUCAGAGGUGAAAUUCUUGGAUUUAUUGAAGACUAACUACUGCG